rnacentral:rRNA from 1 species
AGAACGAACGCUGGCGGCAUGCCUAACACAUGCAAGUCGAACGAGACCUUCGGGUCUAGUGGCGCACGGGUGCGUAACGCGUGGGAAUCUGCCCAAAGGUUCGGAAUAACUCAGGGAAACUUGAGCUAAUACCGGAUACGCCCUUACGGGGAAAGAUUUAUUGCCGAAGGAACGGCCCGCGUCCGAUUAGCUAGUUGGUGAGGUAAUGGCUCACCAAGGCGACGAUCGGUAGCUGGUCUGAGAGGAUGACCAGCAUCACUGGGACUGAGACACGGCCCAGACUCCUACGGGAGGCAGCAGUGGGGAAUAUUGGACAAUGGGCGCAAGCCUGAUCCAGCCAUGCCGCGUGGAUGAUGAAGGCCUUAGGGUUGUAAGUCUUUAACGGGGAGAUAAUGACGGUACCGUAGAAUAAGCCCGGCUAACUUCGUGCCAGCAGCCGC